rnacentral:rRNA from 1 species
CGAAGGGGGCUAGCGUUGUUCGGAAAUACUGGGCGUAAAGCGCGUGUAGGCGGUUGCCCAAGUCGGGUGUGAAAGCCUUGAGCUCAACUCAAGAAAUGCACUCGGUACUGGGUGACUAGAGGACCGGAGAGGAUAGUGGAAUUCCCAGUGUAGUGGUGAAAUACGUAGAGAUUGGGAAGAACACCAGUGGCGAAGGCGGCUAUCUGGACGGUUUCUGACGCUAAGACGCGAAAGCGUGGGGAGCAAACAGGAUUAGAUACCCUGGUAGUCCACGCCGUAAACGAUGGGUGCUAGACGUUGGCGAGCUUGCUCGUCAGUGUCGCAGCUAACGCGUUAAGCACCCCGCCUGGGGAGUACGGCCGCAAGGUUG